rnacentral:tRNA from 1 species
GCCCCUGUAGCUCAGUAGGUAGAGCACUUGACUUUUAAUCAAGGUGUCCGGGGUUCGAAUCCCCGCAGGAGCACCA